GACGAACGCUGGCGGCGUGCUUAACACAUGCAAGUCGAACGGAAAGGCCCUGCUUUUGUGGGGUGCUCGAGUGGCGAACGGGUGAGUAACACGUGAGUAACCUGCCCUUGACUUUGGGAUAACUUCAGGAAACUGGGGCUAAUACCGGAUAGGAGCUCCUGCUGCAUGGGGGGGGUUGGAAAGUUUCGGCGGUUGGGGAUGGACUCGCGGCUUAUCAGCUUGUUGGUGGGGUAGUGGCUUACAAAGGCUUUGACGGGUAGCCGGCCUGAGAGGGUGACCGGCCACCUUGGGCCUGCGAUACGGCCCAGACUCCUACGGGAGGCAGCAGUGGGGAAUAUUGCACAAUGGGCGGAAGCCUGAUGCAGCAACGCCGCGUGCGGGAUGACGGCCUUCGGGUUGUAAACCGCUUUCGCCUGUGACGAAGCGUGAGUGACGGUAAUGGGUAAAGAAGCACCGGCUAACUACGUG
rnacentral:rRNA from 1 species